AAAUUGACGGGGACCCGCACAAGCGGUGGAUGAUGUGGAUUAAUUCGAUGCAACGCGAAAACCUUACCUACCCUUGACAUGUCCAGAACCCUGCAGAGAUGCGGGGGUGCCCGAAAGGGAAUUGGAACACAGGUGCUGCAUGGCUGUCGUCAGCUCGUGUCGUGAGAUGUUGGGUUAAGUCCCGCAACCGAGCCGCAACCCUUAUCAUUAGUUGCUACGCAAGGGCACUCUAAUGAGACUGCCGGUGACAAACCGGAGGAAGGUGGGGAUGACGUCAAGUCCUCAUGGCCCUUAUGGGUAGGGCUUCACACGUCAUACAAUGGUCGGUACAGAGGGUUGCCAAGCCGCGAGGUGGAGCCAAUCCCAGAAAGCCGAUCGUAGUCCGGAUUGUUCUCUGCAACUCGAGAGCAUGAAGUCGGAAUCGCUAGUAAUCGCGGAUCAGCAUGUCGCGGUGAAUACGUUCCCGGGUCUU
rnacentral:rRNA from 1 species